rnacentral:rRNA from 1 species
AUGCAGGAGGGCGAGCUGGAGGAGCUUGAGAAGGGCGUGGAGCCUGCGUGGGAAAGCUUGGUCCACCUGCUCAAGCGCAUCGUCGACAGGCUGAACGUCAUUGACCACAUCAAGGCUGUCAAGGACUCGCUCGACCUCUGUGCCGCCGUCGAGGAUGUCCAGGUAGUCUCUUCUUCAGUCACACUGCCUGUGAUCUGGACAAACGAAGUCGUUGAUUGGUUAGCGCAUCAUCAGAUGAUGAUGUUGUCUCUGUAUUUCUUCUUUACUCCAUGA